GACGAACGCUGGCGGCGUGCCUAAUACAUGCAAGUCGAACGGUCUUUUCUAUGGAAGCUUGCUUCCACUGAGAAGAUAGUGGCGAACGGGUGAGUAACACGUGGGUAACCUGCCCAUAAGAGGGGGAUAACAUCCGGAAACGGGUGCUAAUACCGCAUAGUUUUCUUGAUCGCAUGAUUGAGAAAGGAAAGACGGCCUUUGUGCUGUCGCUUAUGGAUGGACCCGCGGCGUAUUAGUUAGUUGGUGAGGUAACGGCUCACCAAGACGAUGAUACGUAGCCGACCUGAGAGGGUGAUCGGCCACAUUGGACUGGGACACGGCCCAAACUCCUACGGGAGGCAGCAGUAGGGAAUCUUCCGCAAUGGACGAAAGUCUGACGGAGCAACGCCGCGUGAGUGAAGAAGGUUUUCGGAUCGUAAAACUCUGUUGUCAGAGAAGAACAAGUCGGAGAGUAACUGCUCCGGCCUUGACGGUAUCUGACCAGAAAGCCACGGCUAACUACGUGCCAGCCGCCGCCGUAACAC
rnacentral:rRNA from 1 species